CAGAGGGUGCAAGCGUUAAUCGGAAUUACUGGGCGUAAAGCGUGCGUAGUCGGCCAUUCAAGUCGGGUGUGAAAGCCCCGGGCUCAACCUGGGAAUUGCAUUCGAUACUGUGUGGCUAGAGUUCGGCAGAGGGAAGUGGAAUUUCCGGUGUAGCGGUGAAAUGCGUAGAUAUCGGAAGGAACAUCAGUGGCGAAAGCGACUUCCUGGACCAGAACUGACGAUCAGGCACGAAAGCGUGGGGAGCAAACAGGAUUAGAUACCCUGGUAGUCCACGCCAUAAACGAUGAGGACUAGACGUUGGGAGGGUAAGCCUUCCAGUGUCGCAGCUAACGCGUUAAGUCCUCCGCCUGGGGAGUACGGCCGCAAGGUUG
rnacentral:rRNA from 1 species